UCUAACUUUGCCUUUGUAGUUAAAAUAAGGGCACGUAAGAGUUUGAUAUUCUCCGGUAGGCGGAUUCCACAAAACAUAACUUUUAUAAGCCGUAGAGUUCUUUAAAAGCAACAAGCCAUCACACGAGGACAAUACUAUGGCUUUUUGGAAUUUCUCUGGAGUAAUAACUUCCUGUGCCAUCAUAAGUAAUUGGGAAGAUUCCAAGUCUCUAAACUCGAAUUCAUUGGUACUACUUUUGUGUAACACUAGCUUUUCACGUCCCAAAGCUUUGGAUUGAUCGCGAUGAGUUCUCUUGAAUUCAUUGUCUGAGAUUAUAAUAUUCCACGAC
rnacentral:lncRNA from 1 species